ACGGAGGAUCCAAGCGUUAUCCGGAUUUAUUGGGUUUAAAGGGUGCGCAGGCGGAAUUGUAAGUCAGUGGUGAAAUCCUACAGCUUAACUGUAGAACUGCCAUUGAUACUGCAAUUCUUGAGUACAGUUGAAGUGGGUGGAAUGUGUCAUGUAGCGGUGAAAUGCUUAGAUAUGACACAAAACGCCAAUUGCGAAGGCAUCUCACUAAGCUGUAACUGACGCUCAUGCACGAAAGCGUGGGGAUCAAACAG
rnacentral:rRNA from 1 species